rnacentral:rRNA from 1 species
AACGAACGCUGGCGGCAUGCCUAACACAUGCAAGUCGAACGAGACCUUCGGGUCUAGUGGCGCACGGGUGCGUAACGCGUGGGAACCUGCCUUUAGGUUCGGAAUAACUCAGAGAAAUUUGAGCUAAUACCGGAUAAUGUCUUCGGACCAAAGAUUUAUCGCCUUUAGAUGGGCCCGCGUAAGAUUAGCUAGUUGGUGGGGUAAAGCCUACCAAGGCGACGAUCUUUAGCUGGUCUGAGAGGAUGAUCAGCCACACUGGGACUGAGACACGGCCCAGACUCCUACGGGAGGCAGCAGUGGGGAAUAUUGGACAAUGGGCGAAAGCCUGAUCCAGCAAUGCCGCGUGAGUGAUGAAGGCCUUAGGGUUGUAAAAGCUCUUUUACCCGAGAUGAUAAUGACAGUAUCGGGAGAAUAAGCUCCGGCUAACUCCGUGCCAGCAGCCGCGGU